GUCAAAGUGUUUCUUGACCAGUUGCCUACAGCUGAUGAGCUCCAGUAAGAACGAAACCAGUUCUCAUUCAUGGAGUCCACUCUGAAGUAUGAAUUGGUCCUGAGGUACUGUGUGAGAAACAGCUC
rnacentral:hammerhead_ribozyme from 2 species